UAAAUAUAUUUUUUUUAAUUUACAGGUGUCAUGAUGAUCAGACCCGGCCUCGACAGCGUCGUGGUCGUGGUGGUACGGGGAGACAGUCUCGGGAUUCCAGCCAUUUUCAGGAUUCUCCUUCGUCCCACAGCUCCUACCAUACAUCUCCCUCUGCUGCACCCGUUCCUGCUCCUCUCGCUCCCGCUCCUGCUCCUCCGGGUCCUCCGGGAGUGAUGAGUGUUGCGGAGUUGGUUCCCUAUCUCACUCUGUAUCCACAUGGACGGGGUCAAAC
rnacentral:lncRNA from 1 species